UUAGCUCAGUUGGUAGAGCAGUUGACUUUUAAUCAAUUGGUCGCAGGUUCGAAUACUGCA
rnacentral:tRNA from 1 species